GCUUGGAUGGCUCAGCUGGUUAGAGCGCAGGUCUCAUAGUUUCCUAUGAGCGUUGUUUGACAACGCGUAAUCCUGAGGUCGUGAGUUCGAUCCUCACUCCGAGCA